rnacentral:misc_RNA from 1 species
GUCUGGCUGUUAGUGUUGCUUUAAUCCAAUAAAGUAGGAAGGCAACUCUAAAAGUUGGGCACUGGGCCGCUUUCUGGUGAUCUUUUGUUGGAUUACUUUUUUCUUGUCAUAGUAGCUUGUUUUUUGAGUUUGAUAAAAAUUAAGCAAUUUCUUAUAGAUGGGUUUUAUCUGUCACGAGCAUGUUAUAAGAACUGGUAUUAGACCACCGGAGGGUUGUUCCCAACAGAAGA